GCAACAGCUCAAAUUUGAAAUCUGGCUUCGGCCCGAGUUGUAAUUUGCAGAGGAAGCUUUAGGCGCGGCACCUUCUGAGUCCCCUGGAACGGGGCGCCAUAGAGGGUGAGAGCCCCGUAUAGUUGGAUGCCUAGCCUGUGUAAAGCUCCUUCGACGAGUCGAGUAGUUUGGGAAUGCUGCUCAAAAUGGGAGGUAAAUUUCUUCUAAAGCUAAAUACCGGCCAGAGACCGAUAGCGCACAAGUAGAGUGAUCGAAAGAUGAAAAGCACUUUGAAAAGAGGGUUAAAUAGCACGUGAAAUUGUUGAAAGGGAAGCGCUUGUGACCAGACUUGCGCCGGGCGGAUCAUCCGGUGUUCUCACCGGUGCACUCCGCCCGGCUCAGGCCAGCAUCGGUUCUCGCGGGGGGAUAAAGGUCCUGGGAACGUAGCUCCUCCGGGAGUGUUAUAGCCCGGGGCGUAAUGCCCUCGCGGGGACCGAGGUUCGCGCAUCUGCAAGGAUGCUGGCGUAAUGGUCAUCAGCGACCCGUCUUGAAACACGG
rnacentral:rRNA from 1 species